rnacentral:rRNA from 1 species
UACGUAGGGGGCAAGCGUUAUCCGGAAUUAUUGGGCGUAAAGAGCUCGUAGGCGGUUUGUCGCGUCUGCCGUGAAAGUCCGGGGCUCAACUCCGGAUCUGCGGUGGGUACGGGCAGACUAGAGUGAUGUAGGGGAGACUGGAAUUCCUGGUGUAGCGGUGAAAUGCGCAGAUAUCAGGAGGAACACCGGUGGCGAAGGCGGGUCUCUGGGCCGAAACUGACGCUGAGGAGCGAAAGCGUGGGGAGCGAACAGG